GCCCGCCUAGCUCAAUCGGAUAGAGCGUCAGACUCUUAUGCGGGCAUCUGAAGGCUGCGAGUUCGACCCUCGCGGUGGGCU